rnacentral:rRNA from 1 species
UACGUAGGGGGCAAGCGUUGUUCGGAAUUACUGGGCGUAAAGGGCGCGUAGGCGGCAUGGCAAGUCGGGAGUGAAAGCCCGGGGCUCAACCCCGGAGGGUCUCUCGAAACUGCCAAGCUAGAGUGCGGAAGAGGCAACUGGAACUCCCAGUGUAGCGGUGAAAUGCGUAGAUAUUGGGAAGAACACCGGAGGCGAAGGCGGGUUGCUGGGCCGACACUGACGCUGAGGCGCGAAAGCCAGGGGAGCAAACGGG